UUUCGCGUUUCCUCCUGUGAGCCCUAAUGAAACCCCAAAUCCUUUUCCCUCUUUUGGAGAAAGUUCUGAAACCGUUCAAAUGAAAACCUAUGUUCUUCAUCACUGUCCUGCAUCUUCUCGAUUGAAAAACCAAUAUCAAUAUCUAACCCCUAACCCUAGAGUUACUUAGAACAGAUUUGAUGUUCCUGCUGCUGAACAAGACGAACCAAGCAAAUAAUUUUAUAUCUGAAACUCACUAAUCUCGUAUAACAGAUUUACAGUUUUUGUUAUAUUUCUGAACAAAUCGAGUAAGUGGUUCGAUUCUAGCACUGGUGGUGGUGAAAAAGAACUCAAUAUCUUCAAACAAAGAAUCGAUUCAUUGGUAGUCUGUGUUGUCAAUGAUAAAAUCCUUUUCGCGAUUAAUUGGGGUUGCGGUUUACUUAAACUGGUAUUAAUUGUGAUUCUUGAUGAUGAUGGUGUAGUGGUGGUGAUGAAGAAGAAGAUGACUCAAGACUCAGUUUUCUAAGAAGAUUGCUCUUCACCGUGCUUGCCCUUAAAAGUUGGGGAUUUAUACCUUAAACAUUUCAGUCUAUGUCUGUCAGUCAAUAUUGUUCUUCAUUGCAGGAAGACCACCUUGGUGUCUGUCAUUCGAGCAUUGUACGUAGUUUGUGCUUGAAAUUAACAUGUAUGAUUGAUUUUUGGGGGUAGCCUGUGAUGUUAAAUCACUGAAAAUUGAUCUUAUGAGCUUUCUCAAGAGUCAUGGAAAUAAAAUACCCAUCACCCGAUUUCAGAUUUUAUUGCUCGUGUUUGUUUAAGAAUCUCCAUAUUUCCUUUGUCUUUAUAUAUUUUUGCCUGAUUGUUCUGCGUCUUUUUUGGGUUAAGCUGAUGUUUGUAUUCGCUCUAGUUGCGUGCAUUACGGCUGGAAUGGCGUAUUUCCAAAUGGAGAAUGGAAUGAGUGUAUGGUUGAGAAGAAUGUAUGAAUGUCAAGCUGCAGAAUGGAGUGAGAAGGUACUUGAAACAUACUUAUUUGGGCUGAACUUGUUGUUGCCUUUUUCCAGGUAACCUCAUGUGUUAUAUGUACACACUUUGUCAGUCACAUAUUUGUUUUGUGUGAUUCUAUUGACAAAGGCUGAAGCUGCAGAGAGGCCAUAACUUAUUUCUGGACCUGAUGGAGAGGUACCUGCGCAGUCAGUGAUGCUGUUCACAUAUUUCAGUUACGAACGGAUGAGGAGAUGAGGCGACGGGUUUUUCCAGAAAAAAAACUCCAGAGAAUCUCUUGCUAUGUCUAAUAUAGAGGCAUGAAUAAUGUUGCUUAAUCUAUGUUUAUUGAUCUUUCAUAUGUGAUUUGAGUUAUUAUAAAAUGGAGUUUUGAUCAACUCUUGAUUUGGAUCAGGAAAUAUGGGAUGAAAUUGGGGAGAGUGAUACUGGAAUAGAUAAACUGCUUGUGCAACUUGAACAAGAAUGCUUGGAGUUAGAUAUUUACACAAGAAAAGUUGAAAAGGCUUCUAAAUACAAGGCUGACUUGCACAAGUCUCUGGCUGAGGCAGAUUAUGAAGUUGCUAAUCAAAGGAUAAGAACCCUGGUCUUUUCAAGACAUGGUACUCACCAUUGGAGAAAAACUUAUCCAUCUAUCAAGUGUCAUUUCUGAACAUAUAUCCAGUUCAUUGUCUAGAAUGUAAAGCCACAACUGUUGAAUGUUUCUGUUUCAUUUAUUGAGGAAGUAAUGAAAUAGGUUUGGUGAAAAUUAUUUGGUUCAGACAGUGCAUUUUUUCUAUGUACGUCACUUGAUCUCUCCAAUUUGGAAAACUGAGACUGAUCUAUCAUGCAUGUUUCAUUGC